rnacentral:misc_RNA from 1 species
CGCCGAUAAAGAUUUGACUCUUGAGCAAUUUUUGUGGGUGACUUGCGUACAAGGUAUUCAUAAUACCAGUAUGGUUCACCAUCAGUUACACUGGUAUGGGUAUCAAGAACUGAACUCUCAGCAAAGAGGCAUGCAGAAAAUUACCAGCGCAGACUUGCCUGACAAAACAGAAUCGGCAACAUCUUUUGCAGUCCAGGUACCCUUGUCCUUAGAUUUUAUGAACUGAAAAUUUGG